rnacentral:rRNA from 1 species
AGUGAACGCUGGCGGUAGGCCUAACACAUGCAAGUCGAACGGCCGCACAGUAAGAGCUUGCUCUUACGGGUGGCGAGUGGCGGACGGGUGAGGAAUACAUCGGAAUCUACUUUUUCGUGGGGGAUAACGUAGGGAAACUUCCGCUAAUACCGCAUACGACCUACGGGUGAAAGCAGGGGAUCUUCGGACCUUGCGCGAUUGAAUGAGCCGAUGUCGGAUUAGCUAGUUGGCGGGGUAAAGGCCCACCAAGGCGACGAUCCGUAGCUGGUCUGAGAGGAUGAUCAGCCACACUGGAACUGAGACACGGUCCAGACUCCUACGGGAGGCAGCAGUGGGGAAUAUUGGACAAUGGGCGCAAGCCUGAUCCAGCCAUACCGCGUGGGUGAAGAAGGCCUUCGGGUUGUAAAGCCCUUUUGUUGGGAAAGAAGAGCAGCAGGUUAAUACCCCGCUGUUCUGACGGUACCCAAAGAAUAAGCACCGGCUAACUUCGUG